GGGAUAACACUUGGAAACAGGUGCUAAUACCGUAUAACACUAUUUUCCGCAUGGAAGAAAGUUGAAAGGCGCUUUUGCGUCACUGAUGGAUGGACCCGCGGUGCAUUAGCUAGUUGGUGAGGUAACGGCUCACCAAGGCCACGAUGCAUAGCCGACCUGAGAGGGUGAUCGGCCACACUGGGACUGAGACACGGCCCAGACUCCUACGGGAGGCAGCAGUAGGGAAUCUUCGGCAAUGGACGAAAGUCUGACCGAGCAACGCCGCGUGAGUGAAGAAGGUUUUCGGAUCGUAAAACUCUGUUGUUAGAGAAGAACAAGGAUGAGAGUAAAAUGUUCAUCCCUUGACGGUAUCUAACCAGAAAGCCACGGCUAACUACGUGCCAGCAGCCGCGGUAAUACGUAGGUGGCAAGCGUUGUCCGGAUUUAUUGGGCGUAAAGCGAGCGCAGGCGGUUUCUUAAGUCUGAUGUGAAAGCCCCCGGCUCAACCGGGGAGGGUCGUUGGAAACUGGGAGACUUGAGUGCAGAAGAGGAGAGUGGAAUUCCAUGUGUAGCGGUGAAAUGCGUAGAUAUAUGGAGGAACACCAGUGGCGAAGGCGGCUCUCUGGUCUGUAACUGACGCUGAGGCUCGAAAGCGUGGGGAGCGAACAGGAUUAGAUACCCUGGUAGUCCACGCCGUAAACGAUGAGUGCUAAGUGUUGGAGGGUUUCCGCCCUUCAGUGCUGCAGUA
rnacentral:rRNA from 1 species